rnacentral:tRNA from 1 species
GGCGGUGUAGUAUAAUGGGUAAGGAGCUGGGCUUGUAACCCAAAGGUCACAGGUUCGACUCCCGGAUGGGGCACUGCCG